AGAAUCAACGCUGGCGGCGUGCCUAACACAUGCAAGUCGAACGAGAAAGGGUAGCAAUACCUGAGUAAAGUGGCGCACGGGUGAGUAACACGUGACUAACCUACCUUUUAGUGGGGGAUAACCUAGGGAAACCUGGGCUAAUACCGCAUAAUACCUACGGGUCAAAGCAGUAAUGCGCUGGAAGAGGGGGUCGCGGCCGAUUAGCUAGUUGGCGGGGUAAUGGCCCACCAAGGCAGUGGUCGGUAUCCGGCCUGAGAGGGCGCACGGACACACUGGAACUGAAACACGGUCCAGACUCCUACGGGAGGCAGCAGUGGGGAAUUUUGCGCAAUGGGGGAAACCCUGACGCAGCAACGCCGCGUGGAGGAUGAAGACCCUUGGGUCGUAAACUCCUUUCGAUCGGGACGAUAAUGACGGUACCGGAAGAAGAAGCCCGGCUAACUUCGCGCCAGCAGCCGC
rnacentral:rRNA from 1 species